rnacentral:rRNA from 1 species
AUUGAACGCUGGCGGCAGGCCUAACACAUGCAAGUCGAACGGAUGAAGGGUUCUUGCUUCUGGUUUCGGCGGCGGACGGGUGAGUAAUUCCUAAAUAUCUUCCUUUUCAUUUUUUCUCACGUCCUGAAACCGGCUCUCAUACCCUAAUAUUCCUUAGGGAGUACGUGUGAUAUCUUCGGACCUUACGCUCUCGGGUGAUCGUAUGUCGGGUUCUCUAGUUGGUGGGUUAGCGGCCUACCAAGGCGACGAUCCGUAGCUGGUCUGAGAGGAUGAGCAGUCACACUGGAACUGAGACACGGUACAGACGCCUACGGGAGGCAGCAGUGGGGAAUAUUGGACAAUGGGCGAAAGACUGAUCCAGACAUACCGCGUGUGUGAAGAAGGUCUUCGGAUUGUAAAGCACUUUAAUUGGGAAGGAAAAGCAGUAAGUUAAUACCUGGCUGUUUUGACGGUACCAACAGAAUAAGCAACGGCUAACUUCGUG